GACGAACGCUGGCGGCGUGCUUAACACAUGCAAGUCGAACGAUGAAGCCGGAGCUUGCUCUGGUGAAUUAGUGGCGAACGGGUGAGUAACACGUGAGUAACCUGCCCUUGACUCUGGGAUAACUGCGGGAAACUGUAGCUAAUACCGGAUACGACCCUCGGAGGCAUCUCCUGGGGGUGGAAAGAAUUUCGGUCAAGGAUGGACUCGCGGCCUAUCAGCUAGUUGGUGAGGUAAAGGCUCACCAAGGCGACGACGGGUAGCCGGCCUGAGAGGGCGACCGGCCACACUGGGACUGAGACACGGCCCAGACUCCUACGGGAGGCAGCAGUGGGGAAUAUUGCGCAAUGGGCGAAAGCCUGACGCAGCGACGCCGCGUGAGGGAUGACGGCCUUCGGGUUGUAAACCUCUUUCAGCAGGGAAGAAGCGAAAGUGACGGUACCUGCAGAAGAAGCACCGGCUAACUACGUGCCAGCCGCCGCCGUAA
rnacentral:rRNA from 1 species